rnacentral:lncRNA from 1 species
CAUUGAGGGCAAACUCCAAAGACAUUUGCUUCAUUUUCUUUGCUUCCCUCGCCUCCUAAGAAUGACCCAGGAGGUCAUGGAUGGAGACUCGCUUUGGGCUAAGAUAUUUCAUGGAAAGGAAAACUUGGAAAGCAAAUCAAGGACAAAUAUGAGAUUCCCAGCUUAUCACCACACCAAGGCUCAGUGGCGAUAUUUUCAGUGGACGAAAAAGCUAAGCUGAGAUACUGAACUCAAUUCCACCUGGCUGUCCAGUUAAGACACUGAAAGAUGUGAGAAAGAGGCCAUCUGGAGAUAUGGGAGAAAGAUGUCACGGGUCAGGGAAUAGGCUCUUGCAAGAGUCACACAGCCUAAGCGCCAACAGCAUGAGGAAAGAAAGCUGGAAUAGUCAGUGAAUACAAUACUGGACACAGAGAUGGUUUAAGGGUCUCUGGAAGAAUAUGCUUUUUCCUUUUUUCCCAGCUGGAGUCUCGAUUUUUCUUUUCUAUCUACCCACAUCCUGCCUCUGGGAUGAGAGGGAGGCACACACGCUAACCAUAGGAAAAUUGGAAAGUUGGUAAAAUGUAAAGGAUCGGAUACCUGCCAUAUCACAUCCUAGAGCCCUAUUUCUUUCAGUCUUCAUCUGCCUUGGCCAUCUCUGCUGGUGCCAUCUUGGUCCUUGGGAGAUGCCUUGGGGCGGGGAUGGAUGGAGGAAAGAGGGAGGAAGGAAGAGAGCGAGAGAGCACAAGAGAGAGAGCUGCAGGGAAGAUGGAGAAGGGUGUAGAUGGAUUCUCAACAUGGCUGGGAAUGAAGUUAACCAUGGGCAGCUUGAUGUGGUCUGCCUGUCCAUCCAAGACUAAUCUUAGACCCAACGAGUGGUACUGAUACUUCACGAAGGUCAAAGUUGCAUGAUAAACUUCCGGACAGAGCCAGGACUGAAACACAGCAUCCCUUGAGUUCCCAGGGUGUUUUCCCCACAGCCUGGCCUGUGGAUACUGGG